rnacentral:lncRNA from 1 species
GGACUUUAUUAGGCAUUUCACUGAAUACAAAUAAACUUUUAUUUUUUACAUUAAGAACACAAUCUUAUUUAAAAAAUUCACAUUUUCUAUACAGACUGUAGCCAUGGAUUUUCUUUACACCACAUUUAUUAAAGUAUCAAUAACCAGAUCCUAAAAAGAGAAGGCACAGAUCUGUCUCUCUCUGGUGAAUUUCUGGUGUCUAAUGAAGGAAAUGUCACCAGCUCUGCAAAUUCCCAUCCUCCAGAAAUGAAGCAAAUCAACACAAAUGUGUGUAAGCAGGAGUCAUGAGAUGGACAUGUUAUAUUAAAGGAUUUGGAUUUUCCUCUGCCACUUAUAGGAAUUUCAGGAGAGGAGGUAGCUACUGAAAAUGUUUCAAAAUUCCAUCUGCAUUCAGUCUCUGUCAAGGAUUCACUGUUGGAAACAGUAGUAUUUGAAAGCUAGAAUUUAGGAAUUCCAACAUGGUUCUAUUUUCUGCAUUGUUUUAGAAACCAGCCUUUGAUCUCACUGUUCUUAUUUUAGGGCUUCUUGGGUUUUCAAUUCCAAAAAAAAAUAGUACUGGUCGUUAUAAUUUGCUUUGACGAGUCUCUCUGCCAGGUGAUAGCUGCAUGUCAGGGUCAGAUUCUAUCCCCUACUUGCGCCUGCCUCCCCUGUCCCCCAACAAUGUUCUGAGAAGGUGUCACCAGGGCAGUGUCUAUACCUCAGACUCUUUUAUUCUUCCAGCAGUGAAGACAGUUCCUAUGUCACCUUUCUACAAUUCCGUAGAUGACCAGUUUUAACCUGAUAAAAAUAAUUUGUGGUAAGAUGUGAAUGGGGGAAAUAAUGAAUUCGUUUGUUAUCUCUCUGAAAGAAAAAAGAAAUUGAAUUUAAAAGAGGUCCUGGUACUGAGUUAGGCGGUGUUGCCACUUUUCAGGAGCAUUUCUAAUAUGUCGGUGUGUUUUUGGUUGUCCCAGUUACUGGGAAAUGCUAUAUAAGGGAUUAAUGGGGAAACUUGGACCUCACAACAGGCUGGCAAAGGGAAGUGUUGAACAUGGUGGCAUUGAUCCUAUGAAGAUAUUUACUUGAUUAUCCCAUCUGUAUUUGAGUUCGUCCUUCAAAAAGCAUUUGCAGGACCUAGAGCUGACCAAUGUUUUCUUUCUUGAAGGACAUUAUGACUGCAGAUAUUCAUAAGGUGUCUGAACACAAGGGUAUGGAGGGAGGUAGAUCUCGCCCCUUAUAGAUAGCCCAGCUGAAAAAGAUAGAAAGGCAGUGUGGAUAGAAUUGUGAGAUUUAGGAAAAAAUAUAUAGGACAUACCCAGUUACAUUUGAAUUUCAGUGGAUAUCCUGUAUUUUACCUGGCAACUCUAAAUAUUGAAAAGGAAUAACUAAGGAUGGAGAAAGAAAGGAAAUAAGAAAGUUAAUUAAUAUUCUGUAAUCAGAUCCAAGCCCAAAGAAGGUCACAGAAUUUUUGCUUCAAGCAUGACCACAUGUGUAGAUCCUUGUCAGUCAUGAGUUUUCUAUUGCUAGACUAAUUCUACACGUGGGGCAGACCAGAAAAGUGUGUGGGUUGCAUGCUUGUUUUCUCGAGAAGAGAACCAUGUUGGAACCACCUAGUAUGGAUGGGCCUUUAAAAGCUCUCCUAACACCAAGGCAGUUCAUCUUACUUGGGAAGAUUGAAUUUUAAAAAGUAAUGGUUUGGAGAAACAAUUUUUCAUGGAAAAUUUAUCAUUAAAGAAAAAUGGGUGCCAUGUUGGGAAGGUCAACUUUAAAGGUGUACUGGUUCUAUUGUUGAUGAAAACAAAUUAGUCUGUAUGAAAAUGAAGUUAAUAUAUGAAUUGAUGUUUGAUUAUUACGAAAAGCAAUGGGGUACCUCACAAGGUGGACAGUUUGCUUGUGGGAACUCAGAUAGGUUCUAAAGCCCAUUCCUCACAAAAUUAAAAGACACCAUUUUUAACAAAAACUUAAUUUCUGUUUCAAUUUUAAAUCCAAAUUGCAAAAACAACAAAAAAGUGUUAAUAAAUUAAGGCUGGUCACAAUGUGCCCUUUUUCUUUAGGAUAAGUUUGAUUUUUGAUAAGAUAUUAUAUACUUACACACACAUACCACAUACAAGCACAUACUUUUGACUCAUACAAAUAUACGUUUAAAACUAUUACCUACAAAAUAGUAUCACAAUUGAAAUAACAAUUACACAAUUUUCAACAGAUUCAAUUGACAUGUUUUACAAAUUCUACAGAACACUUUAUCAUUAUCAUUGGGAAAACAAACAAUUUAGAGCAUUAUUUAAAACUGUAUGUAACACAGGAGCCACCAAUAAGUUAUGGCAGAUAUAGCAUUUACACCAUAGUGUCACUGAAAUCUAGCUGAAAAGACUAAAGUGCUGUAAAAUAAAAUGCUCUUAAAAACCUUGUUUAGCAUAUCCUGAGGACACUGUGCAUUAUUUUCUAUUAGCAAUUCAAAGUGAGCACUCUGCCUACGGAACUCCUGUUUGGUUGAGUGACCAAAGAUUAAAAGAUUGUGUCGUUGGAUCUGUAAAACUGUGAAACUAAAAAACUCAUGGAAACAUGCAUUUCCUGAGACUUCCAACUUUCCAGUCUGGAAUCCUAACAAGGAAGAACCUGAACAAAUAACCCUGGCUAAAAACAUGUCAGAACUUCAAAGAACUUAAAACAACUUUAAGUGAAGAUGUGUGUAUGUGUUUGUAAUUUAUAUUCUAGUCCAUUAUGGAUUCUCUAAUUUGAAGUGAAAUUGAGAAUUUAGAUAGACUGUUCGUGCCAGGCAUUUUCUAUUUCUGAUGGCCUCACUUUUCAUUGGUUUUCUAGUUACUUUUCUCCUCUUAAAUAUUUAAAUAUUUGAAUUAUGUUUAUAUCUACUAAUGUAGGAGAUAUUGAUUUUAAGAGUUGAAACAGCAAUAGACUCAGAUUGAUUAGAGUGCAGUUUCAACUUGAAUAAUAAGUAUAUGUGUGUGAAAUGUGCAUUCUGUGUGUGUGUGUAAUGUGUGUAUGUGCACAUACAGGUGUAUACAUGGCAAACAUUUUAUACUCUAAUACAUUCACUGUUAGGUGGCACUCCAUGAAAAGUAAGUUUUCCCAGUAUGGCUGAAAGUCAAUAUUGAGGUCAUCAUAUAGAAUAUCCUAAGGCUUUUAAAAGAUGCCUCCUCAUUCUCUGCAUUUACAUUAUUGUGUGGUAAAUAGGGAGACAUAAAUGAUAAUGGCAGAAGAAAAAUUUGCUAUAUUAGUCCUUGAAAAUUACAGACAGGAAAUCAAACUUAAAAAUGAUCUCUUUGCAUAUUUUCUCUCAUUCCACCCACUCCUUUGAUUUCCUGCUGUAGAUUGGGUAAAAGUUAGAUUGUAUUUGUUUGGUUGUUUUGUUUUGUUUUGUUUUUUUGCCUCACAGGACUUGUGAAAUAGUCUUAAGAAACAAGUAAAACAAAAAGUGCACCAAGGUGUAUCUACCACCAUCUUGGCGCCCAUGUGUAGCCCUUGUGCUACAAGCUCUCUGAAAAGACAAUGCCCAGCUGAGACAAAUGUGCAUAGGCUAAGGAUAAGCUUCGAUUGCAUAUCACCAUUUUUUACUUUUGGAAGGCCCGCAGCCUGCUUCCCCAGUGUGCUCCAGGGCAGAACUAAUGGAUAGAAGACAGUCAAAGGCACCUUCUCUCCAUUCCCCUUUCCAAGGACUCCCUUUUAGUAAACUCCCCCUCUAGCUGGAGGACCCAUGGUUCCCUUCUACCUCUUCCCUCCUUUAUAAAUUAAGGCAAGUCCAUUUACUCUAAGUGCCUGCUACAUAGGCACUGUAUGUCCACAUGGAAACCAUAGCAUUGGCUUGAAACUGCCUUUUGUCUAACAAGGUUUCUGGGUGCAUAUCAUUAGCAGCAGUACAAAGCUUUCCCUAGUUAAAAAACUGCACAAUUAUUCAAAAGCUUCAUCAUGUUUGUUUUUUUCCAGAACCCAGUUGACAAAUAGGACAAAGUUAAUUCUAAGCAAACACUAUGAGAAAGUAUCUAGGUUCAAGAAAAUACAACAUAGUUACCUCUAUAUUUUAUUCAUGAUAUGAUGAAAAAUCUGUUUUCCAUUAUAUUUAUAAAAUUAAAUUCAUGUGUCAUUGCAAAUAUUCUUGGCUAAGAUCCUCCUGAAGGAUGAAUGAAUAGCCAGUUAGAGAGAAAGUCUGCCCAAAAACCAAAUUUACGGGACAUACAUUUCAAUAAUCCUAAUCAUUUUAAAAGGAUUCAUAUACAUUUUCACAUAAAGAGCAGGUGUAAAAGACAGAAAGAUAAUAAAACUACAAGGGAAGGGAAAAUGGAAAGAAGAGAAGAAAUAUAUUUUAAAAAUAAUUAAGUCCUACACUAGAAUUCUUUUACAAAAAUACUUUGAUGUGAUCAUCUACUCUACUUUCAAAGGUUUUAUUACUCUUUUUCACACAAUAUUAAGGGUUUCAGUCUUAAAAUUAAAUUAUUUAAUAUUAUCAAUGUCUUCAUUUGAAAAGAAGAAUUGUACUGUGUCCAUAUCUGUGUGUGUUUCUGUAUGUUUGAAUUUGUAUGCUAUCACAGGAAUGGGCAUAUGUUUGUAUAUUGUAUAUGGCAAGAUGUAUACACACAACCCAAAUGUAUACACACAUUUUUGUGUGUACAUGUAUGCUAUUUGGUAUACCACAGGUACAUACACACUCCUCAUAAACAUUCUCUUCAGUAUAAACAAUUUCUUUUCCUCCCUUUAAUUGCUAAUAAGUACUAUUUUCUGAUCAUGAGUAUUUAUAAUCUUGAAAUCAACUCUUGAUUAUUUGUGGUCUUGACAUAUAUGGUUUUGAAUUGAACUCCCUUAUCUAAGUCUAAGAGAUUAAGCCAUAUGUGCUACAUUUAAGUUCAUUAAAAGCUGAGGGCAUGCUUUUAUUUCUCUAUGACCCUACUUUGCAUGGACUGUAUUAUCCUAGGAAACUAUUGGGGUGUGAUUAUUUCUAAACAUGAAAAUAAA